UACGUAGGGUGCAAGCGUUGUCCGGAAUUAUUGGGCGUAAAGAGCUCGUAGGCGGUUUGUCGCGUCGAAUGUGAAAACCCGGGGCUCAACCCCGGGCCUGCAUUCGAUACGGGCAGACUAGAGUUCGGUAGGGGAGUCUGGAAUUCCUGGUGUAGCGGUGAAAUGCGCAGAUAUCAGGAGGAACACCGGUGGCGAAGGCGGCAUCCUGGACCGACAUUGACGCUGAGGAGCGAAAGCUAGGGGAGCAAACAGG
rnacentral:rRNA from 1 species